UCUCCGUAGGUGAACCUGCGGAGGGAUCAUUACAGAGUUCAUGCCCUAACGGGUAGAUCUCCCACCCUGUGUUAUUAUCACCUUUGUUGCUUUGGCGGGCCGCUAGGCUCCGGCCAGGCUACCGGCUCCGGCUGGUACGCGCCCGCCAGAGGACCCCAAGCCCUGAAUGUUAGUGUCGUCUGAGUACUAUAUAAUAGUUAAAACUUUCAACAACGGAUCUCUUGGUUCUG
rnacentral:misc_RNA from 1 species